AUUCCAGCUCCAAUAGUGUAUAUUAAAGUUGUUGCAGUUAAAAAGCUCGUAGUUGGAUUUCUGGCGGGAGCGAUCGGUCCUUCACUCAGUGUUGGAACCUGAUUGUCUCCUGCCAUCCAUGGAGAAAACUUAUCUGGCAUUAAGUUGUCGGGUAGGCAAUCUCCAUCUUUUACUGUGAAAAAAUUAGAGUGUUCAAAGCAGGCUUAUGCCGUUGAAUAUAUUAGCAUGGAAUAAUAAGAUAGGACUAUGGUACUAUUUUGUUGGUUUGUGCACCAUGGUAAUGAUUAAUAGGGACAGUUGGGGGUAUUCGUAUUCCAUUGUCAGGGGUGAAAUUCUUGGAUUUACGAAAGAUAAACUUCUGCGAAAGCAUUCGGCAAGGAUGUUUUCAUUA
rnacentral:rRNA from 1 species